GGGCUUAUGGCCGCAUUGAAACACCACUUCCCGUACAAUCACCAAAGUUAAGCAAUGUCGAGCCUGGUCAGUACUUAGAUGGGUAACUGCUUGGGAAUACCAGGUACUGUAAG